AUGUUCCACACUGGUGUGUGCGCGUCUCUGCCUUGUUUCCUCCGUCCGUGCGUCUGUGGCGUUUUCUCCCUUCGUGCGUCUGUGGCCUGUUUUCUCCGUGCGUGCCUCAGUGGCGCGUUUCCUCCAUUCGUGCGUCUCUGGCCUGUUUUCUCCAUGCGUGCCUCUGUAACGCGUUUCCUCCGUCCNNNNNNNNNNNNNNNNNNNNNNNNNCUCCCAAUUUCACCCUACAGAGUUCACAGAUUGCUCCACAUUUCACCCUACAGAGUCCACAGACUGCUCCACAUUUCACCCUACAGAGUUCACAGAUUGCUCCACAUUUCACCCUACAGAGUCCACAGACUGCUUCAACAUUUCACCCUACAGAGUCCACAGACUGCUUCACAGAUACUACCAAAGGGGACACAAAUGAUCCCCAAGAAGUAUGAGCGCCUUAAAAGUAAGAAAGCCAACCUCCUCCUCUCUUAAUGCCCUCUCCUCAUUUCCGCAGAACAAAGAAUAUGAAGGGUCCAUGACGCCACUGAGAACGCUCCGCUGGUGGUUACACUCUGUACAUAGGA
rnacentral:lncRNA from 1 species